CCUACGGGGUGCAGCAGUAGGGAAUUUUCGUCAAUGGGCGCAAGCCUGAACGAGCAAUGCCGCGUGAAGGUCAGUGCCCUAUGGGCGUUAAACUUCUUUUGUGCGGGAGCAAUAAUGGUCACGUGUGGCCAGACGAGAGUACCGUACGAAUAAGCAUCGGCUAACUCCGUGCCAGCAGCCGCGGUAAUACGGGGGAUGCAAGCGUUAUCCGGAUUUAUUGGGUUUAAAGGGUGCGUAGGCUGUGAGGUAAGUCAGCGGUGAAAUGCCCCCGCUCAACGGGGUGAAGUGCCAUUGAUACUGCCUUGCGGGAAUGCGGAUGCCGUGGGAGGAAUGUGUGGUGUAGCGGUGAAAUGCAUAGAUAUCACACAGAACACCGAUUGCGAAGGCAUCUCACGAAUCCGCGAUUGACGCUGAUGCACGAAAGCGUGGGUAUCAAACAGGAUUAGAUACCCGAGUAGUC
rnacentral:rRNA from 1 species